rnacentral:piRNA from 1 species
UAUUGUCAGGACAAAGGCCCAUGCUCUC